GGAGUGUGGCCCUCAAAAUAGGCAUGGGCUCAGAAGAUAAGGCCAAUAGAAAGGUCCAAGUUGACUAAACCCAAAGGAAAUAGUUGACUCAAUCGGAGGCAUUGGAUGUAAUUACCUAUGCAUGUCAACACAAUCACAAGGGUGAGAUUUAAAGAUGCAUGAUAACUAGAAUAGGGCUCCCUGUACAGGGCCCCAGAGUCAAUGCAAAAGUCAGAAGAUCUCAGGGCUGACUGAGACUAACGUGACCGAUAAUGAGAGAGUGAGGGAGAGGGUAUUUAAGUUAAGAGUCAAGCUGACUCUCUUCAUUUAGAAAAAGAUUACUCUUUCUUCAUCUUUUCUUCUCUCUGCCUCUCUCCUCUCUUAAACACGCAAACUAAAAAAUCACACCACCAAAAUGGAUCAAACGCCAAACAAAACAAGAACAAACAAAGAACACACAUGAAUGUUCUUUGUCCCCUUUUCCAGAAAUCAACCAAACCUACCCAGAUUACCAAAUAGUGAACAUGAAACCUACCUAAAAUGAGAUUCUAAACUCGAACCUGGGAUAAAAAACAACAAUUAAAAUAGAAACAUACCGAAUUGGACCAAGCCUCGUGAUUACUACAAACCCUAGAUCCAAAAAUUAAAGCACAUACACCAAGAAUUAAGCAUGAUAAUUAUGGGGGGAAACAUCAACAACAUACAACGAUCAUGAAUCAACAAAAAAAGCAAGGAAAAGAGAAGAAAUAUGCUCGCUGAAAUCUUGAGGAAUCUGGAUUUUCAAGAUUUCGGCAAGAGCUUCCGGCAAACCUUUACAAUUUUUCGACGAACUAAGAGACCUUAGGGAUGAAGGUUGAGCUCAACCUUAUUAGAGCUUCAAUGUGAAUCUCUAAUGGCUUAUAAGAGAUGGGUUUUAGUGAAUGGUUUAUGUCAGAGUAUUGCAGGGUUACAGAUUCUCUUUACUCAGAGGUGGGAUUGUAACUUUGUUACUCGUGUGAAGUAUUGUUGACUUCGUGGGAUCCUUGAGAGUGAGGAGUGUGUGAUGAAUUUGCAAGUUAUAAAUUAAGAUGUUUGUAAAAGUUUGUUGUUGGUUUUGUGGGAAUUUUAUGAAGAGUGGAGAGUGACCCGUGGGAGGUUGUGUAAAGGUCCAUUGAAAACUUCUAAAUUUAAUUCUCAAUAUAACUUGAUUUAAAUUCUCAAUGUAACAUGUAGUAUUAUUUAUUAAUGGAAUUAAAUAGUUUUGAUA